rnacentral:rRNA from 1 species
AACGCUGGCGGCAGGCUUAACACAUGCAAGUCGAGCGGUAACAGGAGAAGCUUGCUUCUCGCUGACGAGCGGCGGACGGGUGAGUAAUACUUAGGAAUCUACCUAGUAGUGGGGGAUAGCACGGGGAAACUCGUAUUAAUACCGCAUACGACCUACGGGAGAAAGGGGGCAGUUUACUGCUCUCGCUAUUAGAUGAGCCUAAGUCGGAUUAGCUAGAUGGUGGGGUAAAGGCCUACCAUGGCGACGAUCUGUAGCUGGUCUGAGAGGAUGAUCAGCCACACCGGGACUGAGACACGGCCCGGACUCCUACGGGAGGCAGCAGUGGGGAAUAUUGGACAAUGGGGGAAACCCUGAUCCAGCCAUGCCGCGUGUGUGAAGAAGGCCUUUUGGUUGUAAAGCACUUUAAGCAGUGAAGAAGACUCCAUGGUUAAUACCCAUGGACGAUGACAUUAGCUGCAGAAUAAGCACCGGCUAACUCUGUGCCAGCAGCCGCGGUAAUACAGAGGGUGCAAGCGUUAAUCGGAAUUACUGGGCGUAAAGGGAGCGUAGGUGGCUCUAUAAGUCAGAUGUGAAAUCCCCGGGCUUAACCUGGGAACUGCAUCUGAAACUGUAGAGCUAGAGUAUGUGAGAGGAAGGUAGAAUUCCAGGUGUAGCGGUGAAAUGCGUAGAGAUCUGGAGGAAUACCGAUGGCGAAGGCAGCCUUCUGGCAUAAUACUGACACUGAGGCUCGAAAGCGUGGGUAGCAAACAGGAUUAGAUACCCUGGUAGUCCACGCCGUAAACGAUGUCUACUAGUCGUUGGGUCCCUUGAGGACUUAGUGACGCAGCUAACGCAAUAAGUAGACCGCCUGGGGAGUACGGCCGCAAGGUUAAAACUCAAAUGAAUUGACGGGGGCCCGCACAAGCGGUGGAGCAUGUGGUUUAAUUCGAUGCAACGCGAAGAACCUUACCUGGUCUUGACAUAUCUAGAAUCCUGCAGAGAUGCGGGAGUGCCUUCGGGAAUUAGAAUACAGGUGCUGCAUGGCUGUCGUCAGCUCGUGUCGUGAGAUGUUGGGUUAAGUCCCGCAACGAGCGCAACCCUUGUCCUUAGUUACCAGCGGGUUAAGCCGGGAACUCUAAGGAUACUGCCAGUGACAAACUGGAGGAAGGCGGGGACGACGUCAAGUCAUCAUGGCCCUUACGACCAGGGCUACACACGUGCUACAAUGGUAGGUACAGAGGGCAGCUACACAGCGAUGUGAUGCGAAUCUCAAAAAGCCUAUCGUAGUCCAGAUUGGAGUCUGCAACUCGACUCCAUGAAGUAGGAAUCGCUAGUAAUCGCGGAUCAGAAUGCCGCGGUGAAUACGUUCCC